AACCGGGAUGUUUGGAUAGAUAGUUAUAGAACUUAAAGGGGCGGGUACCACAUGAUGGGAUUUUAUAGGCUAGGUUGAGGAGACAGGGAGAAUGAUCUGAGGUUUGGGAAGGGAGGAAGAAGGCUGAACAGUUUGGGAAAAGGUUGAGGAUAUGGUUAUUGAUAAGGAGGCGGUCAAGUUUUUUAGCUAUUGGGUUCACAGGGCAACGGUUUGUCCAAGAGAAGAAGGAGCCUUGAUAGCGAAGAUCGAAGAGCCCCAUUUGAGUUAGGCAGUCCCUGAAUUGGAUCAUAUCUGGCGUCAAAGAAUUUACCGCAGAUACAGAGUGCUCAGCAGGGUGGAUUAUCUGGUUAAAGUCUCCACCUAGCAUCCAUGGGGAAGAGUGGAGAGAGAGAUUCUGAUAAGUAUUUAACAGUUCCACCCACAGGGUGCGAACAUAGAUGUUGUCUUUCCAUAUUACUAUGAUCCUACCAUCUUCAUCCGACAGGUGAUUAGAGGUGAAGUUCCAACCUCUACAGAGUUUUCCCAUAAGGUGGUUAAGGUUAUGGGUUUUGAUAUGAGUUUCUAAUAAAGUACCAAAAGAGGGUUGAUGACUAGAUAACCAUUGACAAAAAGGUGAAUGUUUUACCGGAUCAUUUAAACCACGGACAUUCCAAAAAAAGGUUUUAGUAUCCAUAGGGGUUAGUCUAUGUUCUCCUCCGGAAGGAGAGAACCAUGAGGUGACAAAAGAGAAAAGGGAUUAGAGGAGUUUAAAAUAGGUGGAAGGAGGGGGAC